CUACGGGUGGCUGCAGUGAGGAAUAUUGCACAAUGGGGGGAACCCUGAUGCAGCAACGCCGCGUGGAGGAUGACGCAUUUCGGUGGGUAAACUCCUUUUAUAUGUCAAGAAAAUGACGGUAGCAUAUGAAUAAGCACCGGCUAACUCCGUGCCAGCAGCCGCGGUAAUACGGAGGGUGCAAGCGUUACUCGAAAUCACUGGGCGUAAAGGACGCGUAGGCGGGUUGGAAAGUCAGGUGUGAAAUCCUACAGCUUAACUGUAGAACUGCACUUGAAACUUCUAAUCUAGAGUAUGGGAGGGGAGAUGGAAUUAGUGGUGUAGGGGUAAAAUCCGUAGAUAUCACUAGGAAUACCUAAAGCGAAGGCGAUCUCCUGGAACAUUACUGACGCUAAGGCGUGAAAGCGUGGGGAGCAAACAGGAUUAGAUACCCCGGUAGUC
rnacentral:rRNA from 1 species